rnacentral:rRNA from 1 species
GACGAACGCUGGCGGCGUGCUUAACACAUGCAAGUCGAGCGGUAAGGCCCUUUCGGGGGUACACGAGCGGCGAACGGGUGAGUAACACGUGGGUGACCUGCCCUCAGCUCUGGGAUAAGCCUGGGAAACCGGGUCUAAUACUGGAUAUGACUCCAUGACGCAUGUUGUGGGGUGGAAAGCCUUGUGCGGCUGAGGAUGGGCCCGCGGCCUAUCAGCUUGUUGGUGGGGUGAGGCCUACCAAGGCGACGACGGGUAGCCGGCCUGAGAGGGCGACCGGCCACACUGGGACUGAGACACGGCCCAGACUCCUACGGGAGGCAGCAGUGGGGAAUCUUGCGCAAU